CUUCACCUUCUCGUUCUCGAUGUCCAACAUUUUCUGCUGCAGAGCCGACUUGGUCACUUCGAUGGACUCCAGCCACUGGAAGAGCAGACAGAGGCAGUCAGUUGAAGUUGGAGCCUUUGGACCAAAGGUUUCUCACCUUUUCUGCCAGAGUGAGCACCGUCCUUGCAUGGAUCACGGUCACCUGCUCCUCAUUGGACAAAUUCUACAAGAAAAAACCAGCAGUGAACAAUGAAGACCAAACCAAGGCGGGAUGGACCAGAGACUCAGUUGACCCAGUUGUCCAGCAGGGACAUUAUGGUCCUGAAACUUUGGGGGCUUAGCCAGGCCACGGCCAGUUGAAUUUGAAUAUAAGAGUAGAAUAAAGGUUAUUUCAUGUUCAAAUGUUAAAAUGAUACAGAUCAUGCUGCUGAGUCUGAGUUCAGAGUCUAUAGGCCUGGUUCUGUGGAAUCGGCUCAGUUCUGCUGGUUGUCCUGCAGUCUGAACUGACUUCUCUGCCUGAGAAGAAAAUCUAACAUGACAUGAUUGUAGAGCAGAAACACAAGAGGACAUGGCUUAUGCAGUCACUCUGCUGCUGCGCCACAGAGGCACAUAUUGUUUUUUUUUAAUUUUGAAGAGUUCAUGGUGGUGGGGUUUAUGCUGUGAACUUACUGUUGGAAUACUUACAAUAAAGCAUAACAAUACUUUUAGGUAUGUGCUCUGUGUUUUUAAAUUUGGUCCUUUAUGGGAUCCCAGGAUGUUCAAAAAACAUCCAUGACUUAAAUCCUGAAAGCUCAGGUGUGUUGGUGUAGUAUGAGCAAUAAAACCGAAACGUUCAGCCCUUCAGAACCAAAGGAGACAAAACCAGCUUCCUCUGUCUGGUGACCACAGCGACCAACUGGGAGCCUCCAACAAACCAGUAACCGGUGAGACAGACCCGAGUCCCCAGAACUGGUUCUGAGAUCAGUGGGAUUAUUUCUUUUCAUUCUGUCAUCAGUGAUGUAACAUAAGAUAACAAAUUUGUAGUUUUACUUAAUGCGUUAGACAAAGUUCUAACGAGUUAAACAUGGGCACACACAGAUCUGAUGGUUAUAUUUAGCACAUACAUGUACAAGAUAAAUUC